rnacentral:rRNA from 1 species
UACGUAGGGAGCAAGCGUUGUCCGGAUUUACUGGGUGUAAAGGGCGUGCAGCCGGGAAGGCAAGUCAGAUGUGAAAUCCGUGGGCUUAACCCACGAACUGCAUUUGAAACUGCUUUUCUUGAGUAUCGGAGAGGUAAUCGGAAUUCCUAGUGUAGCGGUGAAAUGCGUAGAUAUUAGGAAGAACACCAGUGGCGAAGGCGGAUUACUGGACGACAACUGACGGUGAGGCGCGAAAGCGUGGGGAGCAAACAGGAUUAGAUACCCUGGUAGUCCACGCUGUAAACGAUCAAUACUAGGUGUGCGGGGACUGACCCCCUGCGUGCCGGAGUUAACACAAUAAGUAUUGCACCUGGGGAGUACGAUCGCAAGGUUGAA